rnacentral:rRNA from 1 species
AUACGGAGGGUGCAAGCAUUGAUCGGAAUUACUGGGCGUAAAGGGCGCGUAGGCGGCUGUGUAAGUCAGAUGUGAAAUUCCGGGGCUCAACCCCGGAGCUGCAUUUGAAACUGCAUAGCUAGAGUACAGUUAGGGUAAACGGAAUUCCACGUGUAGCGGUGAAAUGCGUAGAUAUCGGAAGGAACACCAGUGGCGAAGGCGACUUCCUGGGCCAAUACUGACGCUGAGGUGCGAAAGCGUGGGGAGCAAACAGGAUUAGAAACCCCGGUAGUCC